rnacentral:rRNA from 1 species
UACGUAGGUGGCAAGCGUUGUCCGGAAUUAUUGGGCGUAAGGCGCGCGCAGGUGGUUCCUUAAGUCUGAUGUGAAAGCCCACGGCUCAACCGUGGAGGGUCAUUGGAAACUGGGGAACUUGAGUGCAGAAGAGGAUAGUGGAAUUCCAAGUGUAGCGGUGAAAUGCGUAGAGAUUUGGAGGAACACCAGUGGCGAAGGCGACUAUCUGGUCUGUAACUGACACUGAGGCGCGAAAGCGUGGGGAGCAAACAGG